AGGUGGUUUAUUAAGUCAGAUGUGAAAGCCCCGGGCUUAACCUGGGAACUGCAUUUGAUACUGGUAAACUAGAGUAUGGUAGAGGGGGUAGAAUUCCUAGUGUAGCGGUGAAAUGCGUAGAUAUUAGGAGGAAUACCAGUGGCAAAGGCGGCCCCCUGGACCAAUACUGACGCUGAGGUACGAAAGCGUGGGUAGCGAACA
rnacentral:rRNA from 1 species